rnacentral:rRNA from 1 species
UAUCACGGUAAAACACCGGUUCUCUUACGAUCACCGAAGUUAAGCAACGUCGAGCCUGGUCAGUACCAAGAUGGGUGACCGCCUGGGAAUACCAGGUGCUGUA